rnacentral:rRNA from 1 species
GGGAUUGCCUCAGUAACGGCGAGUGAAGCGGCAACAGCUCAAAUUUUAAAGCUGGCGUCUUCGACGCCCGCGUUGUAAUUUGGAGAGGCAUCUUCGGUUUGGGCGCCAGCCUAUGUUCCUUGGAACAGGACGUCACAGAGGGUGAGAAUCCCGUGCUUGGCUGGCUGUCCCUUGCCAUGUGAAGUGCCUUCGACGAGUCGAGUUGUUUGGGAAUGCAGCUCAAAAUGGGUGGUAAAUUCCAUCUAAAGCUAAAUAUUGGCGGGAGACCGAUAGCGCACAAGUAGAGUGAUCGAAAGAUGAAAAGCACUUUGAAAAUAGAGUUAAAAAGUACGUGAAAUUGUUGAAAGGGAAGCGCUUGAGACCAGACUCGGCCGGAGAUGAUCAGCCGUCCUUCUGGGCGGUGCACUUGUCUCCGGUCGGGCCAGCAUCGGUUGAGACGGCGGGAUAAAGGCCCGGGGAAUGUGGCUCCUUUCGGGGAGUGUUAUAGCCCCGGACGCAAUGCCGCCAGCCUCGACCGAGGACCGCGCUUUUUGCUAGGAUGCUGGCGUAAUGGUCUUCAGCGACCCGUCUUGAAACACGGACCAAGGAGUCUAACAUCUAUGCGAGUGUUUGGGUGUCAAACCCUUGCGCGUAAUGAAAGUGAACGGAGGUGGGAACCCCCUCGCGGGGCGCACCAUCGACCGGUCCUGAUGUCUUCGGAUGGAUCUGAGUAGGAGCAUAGCUGUUGGGACCCGAAAGAUGGUGAACUAUGCCUGAAUAGGGUGAAGCCAGAGGAAACUCUGGUGGAGGCUCGCAGCGGUUCUGACGUGCAAAUCGAUCGUCAAAUUUGGGUAUAGGGGCGAAAGACUAAUCGAACCAUCUAGUAGCUGG